rnacentral:lncRNA from 1 species
UGCUACUUAGGUGAGUUUACACUCAUGUACUACUCGAGGUCCUAGAACUUCCCCAUGAAAUAACAUCACUUGCCCACAGUGGUGACUUCCUGGCUAAUGAACUCUUUAACAGCCUUCUCUUAAUCUCUUUCUCACUUCUCUACCAAUGCUUUCUGGAUUCACAUUUUAAAUAUCCUGCUUGCUUGUGAAUUUGUUACUGGAAGGAGAUCCUGAUCCAGACCCCAAAGAAGGGUACUUGGAUCUUGCACAAGAAAGAGUUCAAGGUGAGUCCAUAGAGUAAGCUGAACGCAAGUUUAUUAAGAAAGUAAAGGAAUAAAAGAAUGGCUACUCCAUAGGCAGAGCAGCCCUGAGGGCUGCUGAUUGCUUGUUUUUAUGGUUAUUUAUUGCUUAUAUGCUAAACAAGGGGUGGAUUAUUCAUUCCCUCCCCUUUUGAGACCAUAUACGGUAACUUCCUGACAUUGCCAUGGCAUUUGUAAACUGUCAUGGCUUUGGUAGGAAUGUAACAGUGAGGACGACCAGAAGUCACUCUUGUGGCCAUCUUGAAUUUGGUUGGCUUCUUUACUGCAAGCUGUUUUAUCAGCAAAGUUUUUAAGACCUGUAUCUUGUGCUGACCUCCUAUCUCAUCCUGUGAUUUAGAAUGCCUAACUGUCUGGGAAUGCAGCGCAGUAGGGUGCUGCCUUAUUUUACCAAGCCCCUAUUCAAGAUAGAGUUGCUCUGGUUCAAAUGCCUCUGACAAAUAUGUCUGCUUCUUGAAGAAACCAAGGAAAAUGACGGUUAGCCACCCAGUAGAGCUACUGAGUUCCAUCCUGGUACUGGGGAAUGUCUAUAGAGACUCCUGUGAUGUGAUCCAUCUUCAGAUCUUGCAGCCAUGACUACUAGCACCUGCUCCAGGUCCCACGUGUUUCAAUGGACAUUUGUCUCCAUCAUAGCCACAUCACACCACAGAUUUGAUUUUUCAGUUCAUUUGGUCAAAUGCCACUCAAAACAAGAAAUGCUAAAGGAGAAGAAGAGUCCAGUUCAAGAUCUGCAUUUCAUUUCUGAUGUUGGCCCAACAACUUUUUCCUUCCAGUUUCUCGGAAGCCUGCCUCCAUAGUUCUCUUUUCCCCCAGUUCGCCCAAGAAUUUAAAGUGAGAAUUCAGAAUAUUCUUUCCCCUUUUCCCCUACUAAUGAUUCAACAGGUAGUAUGAAUUUUCCAUAUUCUGUUUAAUGCUAGGCAUCAGAUUUUCAGAGUUUCUAGCCUCAUUUCCUCUGAAACCAUUAUUUUUGCUGUGUAGUAUCUCUGUCUAAGGUUGUAUUUUAAAAGAUUCCCAAGUCCUUUGUACUAUGACAAGCAUGGAAUAUAACUUUACUAUUGACAAAGAACAAAGAGAGAUCAGAAAUAAAAACACUGGGAACUGUACACAAGCUCUGUAACCUCCUUUCUUGAGACAUUCUGAAACUUGCUAUAAAGCAAUUUAUAUGAAAGCAUUCUCAUGUACAAUAUUUCACACAAUCCCCAUAUUAAUACGAAGUGAAGUCAUCAAUCUCCACUUAAAUUUACAUGUUAAGAGACUAGCCUUUGACAUGUAAAGUAACUCACCCAAGGUCACGUAGCUAGUAAAUGGCAAAAUGGAGAUUUUUAACUAGGUUUAAUAAAUCCAAACCAUUCCCCCAAACUAUUUUGUUGUCCAAUAAGAGUUAGAGAAAUUGCGGUUUAAAAACAGGAAAUAGAUUAACAUCAAUGAGAAUAGGCACUAUAAACAGUAGCUAUGAUCUAUUGGGCCUUUCCAACACAUUACAACAGGCUGUGGGUAUCUGCAUGAAAUAUGCAUAGCAUUGCAAUGGGAAAGAGGAGCUAUGAGCCUUUCAGAAUAAGUGGGCCAAACGCAGUGUAGAAUGCUCCCUACAGUUGCCCUUUUGUGAAAUUCACACUCUAAUCACAUAUUCAAUGUUUGUCUUUGUGGAGAAUAUACUCUCUACAAAGGGAAACAACCUUAAUUCUCCUAAACAUAGACACCAGGAAGAAAAAUAAGGUUAAUUUCUUCAUUCUAGAUUCUAGCUGAUGCCAGCUCUAGAGCUUCCAGGUUGCCCAGGACUAUACCAGAAGCCUUUACUUCAUCCUAUGCAUAAUAUUGACAAAUAAGCUUAUGUUUUAAACACUGAUUCUCUGAAAAAUGUUUUAAAUCCAGCCAUGAAGUGUCCAUAAGCUAACAUAUACAUUACUUUUACAAGGUGCACUCUGGAAGGAAUCCUUUAAAAAGUUAAAAUUUAUUUACGUAAGCUAUGUAGUUGUGUGGCCACUAUGAAAGAAUACUUAGUCAGUAGAACACAGAAAGAAAAUGAAAUCAGGAGUUAUGCUACAUCAGAUGGAAGAAGCAAUGCAGUGUCUGGUAAGGAAAACAAACAAACAAAACAUGAGUUGUCCAGGACUAGCUCUACUAGAAGCAGUGUAACAUGUUGGAAAUAGCUCUUCAAUCAGAAAGUCUGGUCUCCUUAUAUACUAGCUAUGUAGCUUUAGACAAUCCAUUUAAGUCCCUGAAACUUCUCCCAUAUUUUAAUAAAAAUAUCUUUUGAGAUAACAUCCACAAGCACUUUUAAAACACAUAUAUGUAAUUAGUAAGGACUGGGGGACAGGAGUAUGCUGUAAAAUGCUCUGCAAAUAUAAUUUCAUGAAAACACAUAACUACACUGGUGAUAUUAAAUGGACUUUAAUCAGUGGUGAUAAAAGAUGGUCAAUUGUCUAUAUAAUGGAUAACAUGGUAGCCAUUUUUCAACUUCAAGUUUAAGCUUCAAUGAACCCUCAUUUCCUCAAGCCCAUAAUAUGGCCAGUAAUUAAAAUUAUAUUUCUGGUUUUAGUUGAAACUUCUAUGAUUCAAGUGGUUUUGCAGCCCUUCUCACAUCAAAAUAUACAGAGAGCCAUUUGGCUAUUUUCAUAAUACUGAGUUGGUUGGUUUAAUAUCAAGGUUAUUUUUGUUUUGUUUUGUUUAGCUAUAUAGGUCUACUGGUUACUACUGCAACGUUUAAAUUAGGUUCAUGCCUCCUUCUGUUAACAAAGAUUAAGACUCAUGUCCUGAUUGCCUCUGGAAAAUGUUGGGUAAAAGGAAAAUAAGUACUUUUGGCAGCGAAGUGAUCCAUCCACUCGGAAUAACUGACCUAGAUAAAUGGGCUCUGAAAUGGGGACUGAUUAGCCUUCCUAUCAUUAGAUAGGCAUACAGCAGGCCUUACCUUCUGUCUCUUUGUUUAAUGUACUAAGAAGUUUUCUUAAGAACUUGUCAAAGGGUACAACGGUGGAUGAGGCACAACCCCAACUGUGUCCAUAGUAGGCAGACUGAAACCACAGGUCAUCCAGCAUUUUGAGAAAUGGGGAAGGUGCAUGCCGUCUUCUGCCAAAUUUAUCUAAACAAAACAUGUGUGAGGUUAUUAAGAAUUAUAAAGACUUUACAGGCUAUUUUUAUAUAGGAUCCAAAUCAAAGGGAAGGAAGAUUAAAGCCAACACAAUUUCCAUUUAUUUUACAGUGCAGCACAGUUGAGGGCAAGAAGUGAGAGUGGGGAAUACUUAACUUGGCAUCAGAAUACCAGGAUUACAGACCUAACUCUUACAUUAAAUUGAAAUGUGAUCUUUGGAAAAGCUAGCAUAAAUAAUGUUUUAAAGGCAUUUUCAAUUAUAACAUUAUAUCAUUCUUGAUUUAUAUUCUUGAUAACUAAAAGAGAAACCACCAUUGUUCAUUUUUUUGGCCAGUUGCAUGCCAUUCCUUUCCUACAUCUGUCCAGAAGGUCAAAAGCAGAGUCUAAAUUAGGGCAUCUCCAAAAGACAAACAGCAUGGGGCAUGUUCAAUAUCAGCUUAUUCAGGACACAACAAAAGACAUGUUCUAAAAUUUAUCCUAUGACUAAGCCUCAAGUGGAGACUUUAAAACUGUCCUCUAUUUUCAGAUCUCUUUAUUUAAUGUUUCAUGGAAUCUGAAAAAUGUGGAGGAGAGAGAAUCACUUUUCUUUUCAGUCAACACGAUGCCAUGACAACCAGUUAAAAUGUGAAGGAUUGUCAAAUCAACAAUUGUUUUGUCCACAUGAUGCCAAAUAACAACCAGUUUGAGUGAUUUGUUUUUUAAGUACAAAUUUGUUCAGUUGUUGAAGCACGUAGAUACACGCUCCUUAAUAAUCAUACCUUUUAUUUUCUUCACAGUGUACAAACCAAUUUCAAACAUAUUAUCUCAUUUUUAUUCUGAUUUUUCCAACAAGCUCUGGACUGUCAGUAGAGCAUUAUUAUACAGUAUUACUGUAUUUAUUUUACAAAUGAAGAUUAUAAGUGGGAUUUAAGUUGUAUAAGCAUAACUAUCCCAAUUAAUUUGCUCUAUUUUCUCUAAAUGAAACUGAAGAAAAUACAGUGUUUUGCACAUCAGAUUGUAGUAUGUAAAUUUUGCCUGGCCCAAAGAACAUGUUCAGCAAAUGGUGUUUAACAGUAUUUUACUAUUUUCCAUUAUCAACAGUGGAGUGUCCGCUUCCCCACUGGAUUAUUGUUCUUCCAUGUAUAGGCAAAUGUUGAACACCUUCAUUCUCUUCUGCAGCCUAGGUCCUGGAAAAAUAGAGGCCCUUUCCUUUGGCACCUAGGUUUGUCUCCUUUACUUCUGUUGAAAUAGAUAUCACCUCAAAUAUAAUUCAGUUCCAACAGACUGAGUCUACUGAAAUUUCUUGACUAACAUUGUAAAGAGAUGGAGGCUUAAGAAAGUAAUUUGGUCAAGAUUACUUGAUGAUAAAUGUUGUAAUCAAGACACGAAUCCCUGUCUAUAUCACUUCAAAGCCCAUUCUUCAAACAUGUUUCAAAACUUGUUUUCAGAUUUAAUGUCAAAUCCUAAAAUUCUUGUUAUCCUGGAGCUCCCCACUCAUUGUCCCAGUGGUUUUCUGUACUCUUAGGGAAGGGUAGAUACUGAGUAGAAAUGGAAACUAUUGCUCAACUUUAACUGUUAAAUCUUGCUUUUAAGAUUUCGUUUUAUUUUAUUUAGUCCCUAGACACAAUGUUCUUAAAAGCCAAGUAAGAUUGAGGAAGAAAAUGCUUUUCUUAAUUUUUUUUCAGCUCCUAUUAAAAUAGCAAGUGCUGGCCCUAAAUCCCAGAGCUGUGGACGGAGAGAAUCUGCCAUCUGGAUCAGCCUAACCUGUGAUUUAUUCACUUUCUCACUCAACAGACUUUAUUGAGUGCCAACUAUGUGGGGAACAACACAGACUCAUGGAAAUUCAUGAAAUUUGCAGUCCAGCAGGUGACUUAGAUAUUGACUAAAUAGUAAAAAGUAUGAUAUACCGAGGUACAGGAUACUGUUGGGGACAUUUAACAGGGAGUGAACUUAGUCUGGGGCUCAGAGUAAGCUAUCUUCCAAGAGAGAGAUGAUAUUAGUGCUGCAACCUAAAGUAUGAAUACAAGUCAGCUGGAAUAGAGCAGAUUCAGGUAGCUGAAAAAAUAUAUUCAAUGUUUGGAUGGUUAGUUGUGUGUGUCAACCUGGCUAGGUUAUAGUAUCCUGUUAUUUAAUUAAACACUAAUCUAAGCAUUGCUGUGAGGGUGUUUAUAGAUGUCGUUAACGUCUACCACCAGUUGGCUUUAAGAAAAUUUUCUUUGAUAACAUGGAUGGGUCUCAUUCAAUUAGUUGAAAGGCAUUAAGACAAAAGCUGAGGUUUCCCUGAGGAAGAAGAAAUUCCAUCUCUGGACUGCAGCUUCAACUCUUGCCUGACAGUUCAGCCCUUGGGCUGCUCUAUGUAAUGCUUGCCAGACCCCACAAUUGCAUAAGCCAAUUCCUUGCAAUAAAUCAUAUAUAUGUACACACAGAUACACAUGUAAACAUAUACACACAUUAUGAUUCCUCUAUUUCCCCAUAAGCCUCUCUCUAUAUAUAAUCUAUAUCUAUAUCUAAUAUAAACAUAAUAAAACGCUGACUGAUAUAACUUUUUGCUCUAGGAAGUGAGGUAUUACUGUAACAAAUACUUUAAAAUGUAGAAGUGGCUUUGGAAUGGAGGAAUGAAUAAAGGCUGAAAAAUUUUUGAGGAACAGGAUAGAAAAAUCUUACUUUGAAGAGAUUUUUGGUGAGAAUAUGAAUGUUAAAGGUAAGCAUUUAGAAGAUAAUGAAUAAAGUUACUGGAAACUGGAGAAGAGUAAAUUCUUGCUAUAAAGUAGCAGAAAACAUGAUGGAAUUGUAUUCUACAGGUAGGUGAAAAGCAGAACAUGUAAGCAAUGAACUUGAAUAUUCAUCUGAGGAUAUUUCCAAGAAAAGCGUAGAAGGUGUAGGCUGGUUUCUUCUUACUGCUUUUAGGUGAAUGCAAGAGGAAGGAGAUAAAUUGAGGAAGGAACUGUUAAGUAGAGAGAAAUAAGCACUUGAUGGUUUGGGAGAUUCUUAGCCUAUCCAGAUUGCAAAGGAUGUUAAAAUUAAGAAAAUCAUGGUUGAGAAACUACAUUCCUGAGAAAAGUCCAAGUGUGUGGCUAAACAAACUUUUGCUGAAGAGAUUAUAUUUGUGACUCAUGAGUCCACUCAACCUUCUGGACAAAAGCCAGGUGUAGUUAUGGAAUUAUCUAGGAAAGACCUGUGGAGAAUCCUUUUGUCCAAUGGCAUGAAUCACCUUGAUAUAGAGGGGAAGCCUAUAAGGUUUCUGAAAAUGUGAUACCAGCAGAACACUGUCAGCCUGGACAAAAGAAACAGAGACCAGAUGAAAUGAUGGAAGGUUAUCAGACUUCCAAAAUUCUGCAGGCACAAAACAUGCUGAUAGAGCUACCUGACUGCAAACAUCUGCUCUUGUUCAAGAAAAAGGAAGAAUGAUUCAGAGGGCAAUGGAGCUGCCAGCAAGGGCAUGGAGGGUGAGGAAGCUGCCACUUAGAGUGCAGGAGGCAGAACGGUGAGGCAAAUCAUUAUUCUCAGGCCUUCCAAUCUAACAGAAUUUGCCCUCCUGUAUUUCACACUUGUUUAGAACUAGUGACCCCUUUAUUCCUUCCAUUUCCUGUCUUUUGGAAUGGGAAUAUCUAUCUCAUGCCUACAUCAUCAUUGUAUUUUGUAAGCAGGUAACUUGUUUUCAAGUUUUACAGGCUCACAGAUGAAGAGGAAUUUUAUGUUUGGAUGGAUCAUCCCUAUAGUCUCACCGAUAUCUGAUGUAGAUUAUUUCAGUGAUGAGAUUUGGGACUUUUUGUGUUUAUAAUAUUCUGAUGCGAUUUGGAACUUAUAGUUAAUGCUAUAGUGGACUGAGACUUUUGAAUAUAUUGAGACGAAGUGAAUGUAUUUUGCAUGUGGAAUGGUUAUAAAGUUUCUGGUGCCAGAGGACAGAGAGCGUAGGUCAAACUGUGUCCUUACAAAAGAUACGUUCACUUGGAAGUUCAGCAUAUUUGCUUAUUUGGUAUAAGGGUAUUUUGCAGAUAAACUAGGUGAGGAUUUUGAGAUGAGAUAAUCCUAAAUUAGAGUGAGCCCUCAAUAUAAUGAUAAAUAUCCUAAUACAAGACAGAAGAGGAAAAAACACAGACACACACAGGGAAGAAGGCCACAGGAAGACUAAGGCAGGAAUUUAAAUGAUGCCUAUAAGAGCCAAGGAAUGCCGAAGAUUGCCUGCAAGCACCAGAUGCUGGGAGUUAAGGGGUGGAAUGCAAUCUCCCUCAGAGAGAACCCCUAGAAGGAUACAGCCCUGCUGAUACCUUGACUUUGGAUAUAUCUGUCUUCCAGAUUAGAAAAAAAAAAAAUCUACUUCUAACAUUUUGAGCCACUAAGUUUGUGAUCAUUUGUUAUGGCAGUUUUAGAAAACUAAUAUAAAAGUCUUGAGUUAUCUGAGUCAGUGAAAGAAAAAAAGAAGAAAAGAAAAAAGUGAGCAAGGCUGGAUCAUAUAAAAAUAGGGGUAACUGGACAUGAGUGUAAAGAAUUAGCCAAAGGCUGACAUUUCCCAAUCCCUAAGGGCCACUAAAGGAUUUUUCUUCAGAAAAUGAUAUGAUCAAAUUUGUCUUUUUGAAGGAUGUCUCUGGCCACCUGUCAGAAAAAUGGCUUGUUACUGGUGUGGAGAGAGAGGUGGCAGAGUGUCAGAACAAAGUAGAAAUUCCAAGAUCCAAGCAAAAAAAAAUUAGAAUGCAAGAGAAUAGUGAAAAUUGAAGAAAUGAACCAAGCAAGUACAAAAGAAGACAAGAGGCCUUUAGCUUAAGAAAAUGCAAAAAUAAUGAUAAUCAAAGUUAUUUCAGGUUAUUUAAUGCCAGUGCAUGACUAGAAAAUAGGAGACCUUCACAAUAGGAUAGACCUCAGUGCACAUGUUCCCUCAGAAACCUUGCUUUUGGGCAAAUUGACUAAACUGUCUGAGCCAAGUUUAUCAUCUUAAUAGUAGAUAUAUUUUUAGACUUGUUGAAUGGAUGAGAAAUUUUACACUCUAACAUAAAAGGUGAGUAGAGCAAAUUUCAAAAGAGGAAGAAGGAAUCUCUUUAUUCUUUUUCUCCUUUUAUUUCUCCUAUCAUUAUUUUAAAUACUGUUCCUAGCAGCUGAUUAUCCUAACCUUUCCAUUCUCCAUUAGCUAAACCUGGAUUCUACCAGCUUUAUCAGUUUCUCUCUCUCUCCUUCCAUCAUUUUGAUACGUAAAACCACUACUAUGAUUUCUCUGUUUGAUCUCAAGUCUUUUCUCAAACCAGCUCCUUUUCUUCCUGCAGCCACACACAUGAAUGAACAAACACAAACAUAUCUAAGAAAUAUCAAUUUGUAUUCCUUUCAUCAGGAAUCAAUAGAGCCACAAUCUACCAGCAACUGGCUCUUCCUGUAAUUUGCACUGAUUUAGGUUAUUUGUUUUUAUUCAAUUACUAACGCUUAUUUUUCCAACUAGCUUAGACAUACUCCAGGAAAGCAUUCUACAUUUAUGUUAGAGGAAGUGGAGGGUUUAUCCCACUGUCAUAAUCGGCCUAGAUUCCAGGUCUUAUUUUCAAUCCCUAAAAAAAGACUUUCUUAUGAUUCUUUAUAAUCUAGUCAAAUUCUGUCUUCCCUUAUGUUUUGUUUGUUUGUUUGUUUUUAAGAGUAUCAGAAAUAAUUGGAGAUGAUGCUGUUUGUUUUGACUCCCACUCUUUCUACUCCUUAACAUGAAAGAUCAGAGUCUGGGCUCUCUACUCUUCCCAAAGUGUUACAUCCUCUGGCCCAUCUUUAUUCCUUUGCUCACAUUCUUACUCCUGCUCAAGUGUAUUCCCACCCCUUCCUGCCCAGCCAAUCCCUAUUCAUGUUUAAUGGCUGAAGCACUUUCCAAAAUCUUCCCAGACUACUCCAGCCUACAUAGCCCUUCUCUUUUACACUGUAUGAAUUUAAAGUCAAUAUGAAAACCUAAGUUUCUAAAUUUUACACAGUUUUAUUAAUACGUUUGACACCAAUCUCUCAACUUACUAUACCAUAAACUACCUGAAGUAAAAAUUAUAUCUUAUAUUUUUUGCAAACAUCAAAGCACAGGUAAUAAAUAAGAAAUGCUAUAAAAGCCAUAAAUAUUAUGACCGAAAGCAGUAGGGGGAUAAAAAGCAUGCAAAGGAAGUCUUUUUCAAACCACUUCUAGCCAUCCAUACUUCUAGAUAUAUGACCAGAGUUGUGAACCUCCCUGUGUAGUUCUCAGACUUCAUACAUCGGUGAUGCUGUUUAAAUGCAGCUCCCGAGACUCCUCCUGCAAGGAUUCUGUAGUGAUGCUUGGGUAGCUACCUUUUACCAAGGCAAUCCAGUGAUUCUUAUUCAGAAGACUGAAGGACAAUCUUGUGAGAAAUAUCACUCUAGGGAUAAAGUAACAAAACUACAUGUCCUAGGAACUAACACUGAGCAGGAAGAAGAGAAACACAGGCUGUAGCCAGACAUUCAGGUAAUCUCCCACUUCCUGUAAAUUAUAGUCUGGAAUUUUGGACUCUCAGCCUCUCCAUCUCUUACUAACUACAAUGUCUCCAAUUCCUCACUUGGCAAUCCUACAGUUAAAGUUCCUUUCUAGACUUUUACUUUUUACUAAACACUCAUCUAAUACUUGCUAUGAUCUAGUGAGUCUUGUAUACACAUACUAGUUAUUUUAACAUGAAAUUUGUGAGAUAGAAUCCCUUUACUGUCUUCAUGUUAUAGAUGAGGGAACUAAGGCACACAGCAGUAAAAUAACUUGCCCAAGGUCAUAGACUAAGUACAUAGCAGAGCUGAGAAUCAAACCCAAGCAAUCUGGCUCCAUAGCCUGCAAUCUGAACCACCAUAAAACCAUCACAAUGUACUGCCUCAUCAGUUCUGCAUUUCAGACAUAUUGCAUGCUUUUCCCAGUUUCUGAUGUCAAUACAAUCAAUAGAUAUUCAAUAUUUAUUACGUGUCAGCUAUCAUAAUAUGUACUAGGACUAUAACCCCAGAAUAAAACUCCAUCUGUGCUUUCAAGAAGCCUAUAUUAUAAGGUAGAAUCCAGAAAAAUAAAUGAACAUAUAACUAAACAUAUUGAUAAGUAUUAAUAUCACAAUAGGGACAAGAAGAGGAUAUUAUGGGAGCACAUAGGAAGGAAACUUAUCAUAGUCUUGGGACUGAAAAGACUUUCCAGAGGAAAUAUCAUCUAAGCUGAAGUCUGAAAGAGCUCUUGCAAACAAGUUAAGGUUGAUGGACUCACAGUACUGAGGUGUCUAGAGGAAGAUGGACAUGAGAGAAUGUCAUGGUCAAAGGUAAAGGCAUAUGCAAAAAAUGUGAGGCAAAAGAAAGUUUGGUAAAUUUCAGAAACUUUAGGUUGUUCAUUGUCAUCAUACAGAAAAGUAAAAGAAGGUCAAUGGUAACAGACAAAUAAAGGAGAAAAUGUUUCUUGGGAUCUUUUUAUUUCUUUCUUUUAGAUGCUAACCCUAAGGAAUCCAUUCAAACUCUUGAUUACUCUCCAUGCUGAACAGGUUAGUCUGAAGUAUUCUUGACCCAUGAAACGGAAUUAAUCAAAUCCUAGUGGCUCAGCGAAGCUCACCUUAGACCUUUCAUCUGAAAUUAAUAUGUUAUGAUUGAUUAAUACAACUAAUGGAUACCGUAUUUCUGAGCAUACCGACAUAUGACAACACAAUUCUUUUCAAACAAAGAGGAUUCAAAAUUCUAUGUGUAUAGAUAGCCAAUAAACAAAAGCUUUAAAGUCAAUAUAAUCUAAUACCUGAAAACUUGAAAUUUUUUUUGUAGUUGUUUAAACAGUUCUAAUUUAUAGUUAGGGACUUUGAUUUUCAAUCUUCAUUAACAAGCACAGUGCAAUAAAGAUGGAUCACUGUAUUAAUGAAACAAAAUUAUUAUGUGUUAUUUAUACAGGACAGCAAUAAAAUGAGACCAAGAAGAUUAAGCAUUCUAGCAUGCUGUAAUUUAUGUCAAAGUAAUGUCCUCCUUUGAAGUCAGAGUCUGGCUUAAACAAUGAAGCAGGAAAAAUGUUCAAAACAGCAAAGGGGACUGGGAAAGUAAAAAUCCAGUUUCAUGUAGAAUAUCGAAAAUAUUUUGGCCAAUUUAAAAGAAAAAUCACUUAUAGAACAUAAUCUGAGAAAAAAGAAGGUGGAAAACAGCUUAGUAUCUCUCCCUAUCUUAGUUUGCCAUACUUAGUCAAAGUCAUUUGAAAAGCUACAUUCGUAAGAGCUAGUGAGGUAAAGUGUUUCAAAUGUCCUCAGUGCACUCUUUGAGGCUCUAUGGGACAGUGAAACCCUGAUUCACCUGUUAGGGAAAACACACACAAAAAAACACUUGACAUGUUUAGAGAUAUUCAGUUCUUAAAUGAAUAAUCUUCAUUAUUAACAAAUGGCUUAACAAAGAAAGCCAGUGUUACAAGUAUGCCGAACCCUUACUCCUAACUGCAUUUAUCCCUACUAAAACUAUAAAGUGUCUCUUUGAAAUAAAAUUUUGACAAUAAACAAAUAGUAUGGUUCUUUGCAAUUUUUCUGAGUCCUAAUUUUUAAAAAAUGCAUUAAGGAUGUCAUUUUUAAUCUGGGCCCCACCAAGAGAUUUGCAGCAAUGUAUCAGGGAAAAAGCAAAGCCAGGGAUAUAAACCUAUUGCAUCACCAUAUAGAAGCAAUUUAACUGAAUAAUUUUGGGGAAAAGUUUUUUUCUUUCUUUUUUUGUUUUUAUUCUUAAGAGGUUUUGUCACACCCACUUACAACCAAAAUUAGUUUUUGGGUGGAAGCCUAGAAAGUAGAAGUUUUUAUGGGCAGUAAGUGAUUGUCAAAUUCUGUACUUGUGUGUUGUGAAAAGGCCCAUGAUAUUAACACUGCGCUGAAUUAAAGGAAAUACCAUAAAUUAUGGUAUUCUUGUAAUCAUCAAGACUGGUGUUUUUUUAGAGCUGAAAUUUACAGGUUUUUCUCCUGAAUGUCUUUUUUAAAAUUACAUACACUCUCUCACACACACAAAUAUCACUGGCUCACCAAAAUUAUUCCAACCUCCUACCACAAUUUUUUCAUGUAUAUUUUUUCUUAAAUAUAGGACUUCCAUUUUCCCAUAUUGUAGAAGAAACAAAAAUUCUGGAAUUUGAGGCUGGGCAUGAUUUUAGUAUUAUAUUGCUUUUGCAUUUUAAAACUUUAAAGAUUUUAAGUAUUUUUGAUAAUGAAAAGAAACAAGUUUCAAAAAAGUUUGAGGAAAAUUCUGAACAUCAAGUUUUGUCAUCUGUAAAUGUAGAUAAUAGCUGCCUUGUACUUUUACAAGGUAUAAUGAACACAAAGGUACUUUUCAAUCUGUAGAAUACCAUAUGAAUGUCUAAUAUUUCUGUUUUCAUAGUAUAAUCACAUUGCCUCAUAUAACAUUUUCCCCUAUACACAAAAAUACAAAACUCUAAAAUAGUUCUCAGAAAUACAAUUAAUAUAUACUAAAAAUCUUAGUGCAAAGAGCACGAGUGACCUGACCAGCAUUAAUAGUGACCAGCACGAUGCAGAUAUUUAUACAUAUCUGAUUUUUUUAAAUAAAAAUGUGUUGAAUAUUUUAUCUGUCAGACUCCAGUCAGGAGAUAUAAACCACACUAGUUAUCUUAACAGAGUUAUAGUGAAGAAUUAAAAGCGUAGAAAGUAAACAUUAAGGUGUCACAGAGGUAAAGGGAAAAUAUCAUUGCAAAAGUAGCCAUCAUUCAAAGGGAAUAGGUUAGAAUUACUUAAACUCAGAUGCUAGAGAAGAAGCACAUGAAUCUGACAUUCGGACCUCUGAGGAUGAGGAGCUCCUUGACUGAUGCUGGAAUCUGCAAGCCUUGCAGGUGGAUGAAGGGGGGUACGAGGUCCAGACCUUUGAGGAGGCAGAGCAUAUCUCUUCUUUCUCCAGCUUUCCAGUUGUUUUUUCACAUUCCAUAUUAGCUUAGCCUAACACAGAGUCAGCUAGCAGAGUAGAAAUGGGACAUGAAGAGUUCCAGCACUAGCAUAACAAAGCAGAGAAUAAAAGGGUGGAUUUAGAGCUGAUACCACAGCUUCACAACUGGAUCAAAUAUACAAAUGGUAGACUGAUUGAAAGAAUAAAGAAACAGAGAAAAGAAUGAAGAAGUGAAAUAUUUAUUUACUUGGUGGCUGAGUUAGAAUCAAAGUGCUCUGCUUUCCAGAUUUCUCCAUAAUGCACUCUAAUACCUGCAUUCCUCAAAACUAAAUAUAUGUUGAAAUUUUUGAAUCAUAUGACAUUUAAAUAUAUUAAGGAGAUUUACUAUUUAUAGGAAUAUUAUGGCAAAUUGUUUUGCAAGAUAAAUAACUAGUCGCUAAUUUAACUGGUUCAAAACUCAGAAUUUGUAUACACUUUGUUUGCUUAAGCAAAUUAAAUCUAAGUGAAAAAUAUGAGGUUCACAAACCAUAAGACCUACUUGGCUCCCAGAGGACUUUCUCAGCAUAUAAUAGUGUGCCAGAUUGAGUGGCACAAUUUUAGUUCCUGGCAAGAUGAUAAAUAAACACAAGCUCCUGUGUUCCCUCACUCCCACCAUGGCCCAACCUUGAAAGUGCUACAGACGAGAAAGGGUUUAGGGUAACAUUUUAGUUUUAUUAUUUUUCUGUCUGCAAACUAUCCUGUAUAGAUUAUUGUUUUCUCUUCCCUCACUCCCAUCACCAGUAGAGGUAGAAAAAUUAUUACACCAGCCAUAUACAACCAUAGACAUGGCACAAUAAGCCUAGCUAGAAAGGAGAAAAAAUAGUAAGUAAGUAAUUAAAAACAGUAAGCCCCUGAGCAUUCCCUCUGCUAUCCUUCACUCCCUCUACCAAUGAGGACUAAGUAAGCAUACAUACACUUAAGAGAAAAUGAUUAGAGAAUGUAAUUCCUGGGGAUAGGGUAGGAGUAAAUAUAAAGUGAAAGAGCACAAACUCUCUACAUCAUGUUACAUCUUCCUUUGACCCACACAAUCUAAAUUUACCAAGAGAUGUAUAAACUAAGGCUUGAGUUUUGGCUUUUCAACCUGAUUUACACAUUACCAGCCAAUGUAGCUAUUGCAUACUAUUCCUACAAAACAAGAAAAAUACUAGAUAACUGAGAAAAGCAAAAUCUACAAUAAAAACACAAUUCAAUGAUUUAUACUAGAUGGAGCCUAGAUAUAUUAUAGCAAAAUAUUUAAGAACACUAAAGACAAAAAGAACAACUCAAAAUUGUUUUAGAAAGAAUAGUGGAAAACAGAGUAACAUGGAGAAAAUGCAAAGGGAAUGAGAAAACAGGAUGUCUUAUUCGGGAUGAAGAUAUUAACAUAUAUAUAUAUAGAGAGAGAGAGAGAUUUAUUUAAUGCAAGAAUACAAAUAGAAUGUGUAACUUUCAUAGCAACAGAAAAAUCAAUAGAAAAUAUGCAGUAAAGGAGAAAAAAGAAACAAAAAAGGCAUAUGGCAAGAGAGACAAAUAUAACAAUAAUUAAAAUAAUUUUUUAAUUCACCAAUUAAAAAUUAUAAACUAUCAUACUGAAUAAUAAAACUAGCAUCUACUAUACAUCAUAUAUGUGUGGAUUAAAACUAGAAUGUCAUAGGUUGAAAUUAAAGAGAAAGGAAAAAAUAUACCACACAGUUACGAAUCAAAACAAAGGUAACCAUUUUAAUAUCAGAAAAUAAAUAUAACUCAAAGGUACACACACACACACACAAAGAAAGAAGAAUGUAGGGUACUGGUAAAAGAAAUAAUCUACAUAAUACAGGAUUCAAACAUGCUUAUGAACCCAACUCCAUAGCCCCAAAAGAUAUCCAGUACAACAAUGACAGAACUGUAAUGAGAAAUUGAAAAUUGAGAGUUACUUAAUUUGUGUGGGGAAAACUGCGUUGUUUUGUUUUUAUAGAGAAAAAAAUCAAACAGAUUUUUACAUAAAUAAAGUGCAGAUAGAUUAAAAUUUUGAUUGUAGAAAAAAAUAAAAGUAAUAGAAGAAAUUUCAGAAUAUAUCUGUAACCUGCUGAUGGAAAAGUAUCUUUUAAUCUUUAAAAAACCCACAAAAUACACAGCAACAACAAGACAACAACACAGAUUUAUUUGAUAGCAACAAAAUAAAAUUUUGUGUUUAAUGCAAGUUAUUAUAAGUAUUGCAAAAAACAAAUAGUACUUUGGAAGAAUAUAAUUGCAGUCUAAAAUUUAAAAUAUAUUAACACCUGGAAUUUAAGUGGAACUCCAGAAAAACAGAAAUAAUUAUAUCAAAACCCAAUAUAAAAAUGGACAAAGACUAGGAAAAGCCAAUUAUAAUGAUUAUUACAGAAGACAAAUUAAAAUACAUGUGAAAUACAAGUGGUAUCCCCUAAACUUAUCAAAAAAUAACAAAAAUAGAAUAUCAGAUAAUAUCACAUGUUAGAAUAUGAGUAGAUAAAAACUUCACAUACUACUGAUAGAAAUAUUCAGGUAUAGCCAUUCUGGAAAUAAAUCUGAGAAGACCUAAUGAAAUUAAAUUAAAUACAGUACAUACUAAAACUCUUUAAUUCUACUCGUGUGGUAGUCAGGGCAGUGUUUCCUUUGCAGUAGUUGCAUACCCUGAAAUACUCCACAGCAAUAAUGAACGAGAAGUCAACGCAGCAACUUGAAUAUCUUAAAAAUACAGUGUUGGCCUUUUAAACAAGGAUG